rnacentral:rRNA from 1 species
GACGGAGGGGGCUAGCGUUGUUCGGAAUCACUGGGCGUAAAGCGUACGCAGGCGGCUUUUUAAGUCAGAAGUGAAAGCCCGGGGCUUAACCUCGGAAGUGCUUUUGAUACUGGAAAGCUAGAGUUCUAGAGGGGUUAAUGGAAUUCCCAGUGUAGAGGUGAAAUUCGUAGAUAUUGGGAGGAACACCAGAGGCGAAAGCGAUUAACUGGCUAGAUACUGACGCUCAUGUACGAAAGCGUGGGGAGCAAACAGG